UUGCUUCAGCAGCACAUAGACUAAAAUUGUAACAAUGCAAUUGGGAAGAUCAGCAUGGUCCCUGAACAAGGAUGACAUGCAAAUUCUUGACACACUCCUUAUUUUU